AGGGCACCACCAGGAGUGGAGCCUGCGGCUUAAUUUGACUCAACACGGGAAAACUCACCCGGCCCGGACACCGCGAGGAUUGACAGAUUGAUAGCUCUUUCAUGAUUCGGUGGAUGGUGGUGCAUGGCCGUUCUUAGUUCGUGGAGCGAUUUGUCUGGUUUAUUCCGAUAACGAGCGAGACUCUAGCCUACUAACUAGUCCGCAUGUUCGCUUGCUGCGUGCUUGGGACUUCUUAGAGGGAUUUUCGGCGUUUCGGCCGCACGAAACUGAGCAAUAACAGGUCUGUGAUGCCCUUAGAUGUCCGGGGCUGCACGCGCGCUACACUGGCGAAAUCAGCGUGCCUGUCCUCUCGCGAAAGCGACUGGUAAACCGGUGGAAAUUCGCCGUGAUUGGGAUCGGAAAUUGCAAUUAUUUUCCGUGAACGAGGAAUUCCAAGUAAGUGCGAGUCAUCAACUCGCGUUGAUUACGUCCCUGCCCUUUGUACACACCGCCCGUCGCUGCCCGAGACUGAGCCAUUUC
rnacentral:rRNA from 1 species